rnacentral:lncRNA from 1 species
UAUGAAAAAGUAAAUUUGCAUUUAGAAUGUAAAAGUUACAAAGAAAAUGUAAAGGUUCACCGAUUCAUACAUCUUUCUCGAGUAACUCGUUUCUCGCCUUAACAUGGAUACUUUGAGUGUUUGAGAUUUUGUGUAAAUGAAUUGUGACACCUACUUCGACUACAUAUACUUCUAUUUAUAGAAAAUUAAGCAACGUCUAUCCUAACGUUAAACUACUAAACUUCAGCCACGCGUCCUUUGCAUUUGAAAUGAACCAAGGCCUGUAAACCGUUGUAACCGUCGAAGUCGAAUCACCCUUAAAUGAUAAAAAAUUGCUCUAAGUCCACAAUUCUUGAUUACUUCGAUUCAUUGGCUUCCAUCGAAAGAUUCUUUCAGUCUCGAGCUAUGAAACUUUUCCAUUAAGAUUCUCUUGUUCUUGAAGUCAUUAAAGACUAAGGCUACCUAAAGCCAUCUCAACAGGUUUUUUAUAGCAAUAAAUGUCUUUGGAACUGGAGAUUAUAACAUAUUUUACCUUGAGCUAAAAUAUGGGAUAACAAUGAAAUAAGAGAUUGGCAUUUUUUCAAAGUACCUCUUUCCAAAUGCCAUUCCUUUUCUUUCGAUUUGAUGAUGUCAUGGUAUUUAAGAAGAUAACCGUUUCACUUCUUUCAAAACUGUCACGUUCUGCACCCUUUUGAGUAGUGGGACACGCGUCAGCCUGAGAAGUUGAAUCGGAAUAGACAAAAAGCGCUUUUUCAGCAUUUAUCUUUUUAAUUAAAUUUUGUCUUAAUCCAAGAUUGCCUAUAAAUAGAGCUCUGUCACUUCAGUUGAAAACUUUCCAACUUCUUUCAAAGCUUCUCACGCUCCAAAAUCUCUCAAAAUCUUUCUCCAAAUCUUGAAACAUCAAAGAUUCAACACAAAUUUGAACUUACCGGAUCUUUG